rnacentral:rRNA from 1 species
AGAGUUUGAUUAUGGCUCAGAACGAACGCUGGCGGCAGGCCUCAUACAUGCAAGUCGCACGAUUAAAGCUCCCUUCGGGGAGUGUAUAAAGUGGCAAACGGGUGAGUAACAGGUGGAUAAUCUGCCCCUUGGCGGGGGAUAACGGUUGGAAACGGCCGCUAAUACCGCAUGUGAUUGCUUUUUCAUCGGGAGAAGCAAAGAAAGGCGCUUCACGGCGCCGCCAAGGGAUGAGUCCGCCCCCCAUUAGCUAGUUGGUAAGGUAACGGCUUACCAAGGCUUCGAUGGGUAGCCGAGCUGAGAGGUUGAUCGGCCACACUGGGACUGAGAUACGGCCCAGACACCUACGGGUGGCAGCAGUAGGGAAUAUUGCGCAAUGGACGAAAGUCUGACGCAGCCAUGCCGCGUGAGUGAUGAAGGCCUUCGGGUCGUAAAGCUCUUUUCUGAGGGAAGAACAUCCAAUAGAGGAAAUGCUAUUGGCUUGACGGUACCUCAGGAAUAAGGAGCGGCUAACUCCGUGCCAGCAGCCGCGGUAAUACGGAGGCUCCUAGCGUUGUUCGGAAUUACUGGGCGUAAAGGGAGCGCAGGCGGGGUGAUAAGUCUGAAGUGGAAGUCCGAGGCUCAACCUCGGAAGUGCUUCGGAUACUGUCACUCUUGAGAUCGUGAGAGGAAAGCGGAAUUCAGGGUGUAGCGGUGAAAUGCUUAGAUAUCCUGAGGAACACCAAUGGCGAAAGCAGCUUUCUGGCACUGAUCUGACGCUGAGGCUCGAAAGCGUGGGUAGCGAACGGGAUUAGAUACCCCGGUAGUCCACGCCGUAAACGUUGUCAACUAGGUGCGA